GGCCGUAUUACACCCUGGGCUAUAACACCUCCACCGAAGUGGAGGCCACAUUCCCAGAGCCUUUAUCCGGCCGCCGAAACUGAUGCUGGCCUGUCCAAACUGAGUAAACCGGUCAGAAGACCGGCCGAACAGUUUAAACAAGUCUGAUUGCAAGCGCUUCCCUUUCAACAAUUUCACGUGCUUUUUAACUCUCUUUCCAAAGUGCUUUUCAUCUUUCGAUCACUCUACUUGUGCGCUAUCGGUCUCUCGCCAAUAUUUAGCUUUAGAAGAAAUUUACCUCCCAUUUAGAGCUGCAUUCCCAAACAACUCGACUCGUCGAAGGAGAUUUACAUAGGGUGCCAUUUCCUGUCACAUACGGGAUUCUCACCCUCUAUGACGUCCUGUUCCAAGGAACUUAGACAGGCGGCUUCCCCAAAUCAUCCUCUACAAAUUACAAUGCGAACCCGAAGGCUAGCUUUCAAAUUUGAGCUGUUGCCGCUUCACUCGCCGUUACUAGGGCA
rnacentral:rRNA from 1 species